UUCUCCUCUCCACAACCUAUAGACAUUGUGGGAAGAAGAAUCAAGACCAGGGCAGAGGAUUGGGAGACCUUCCUCUUGCUAAUAAAUCAGAACACCAUGCAGCAUCUCACUCACUCAUCCAGAAAAGAAGGGGUACCCCGAGAAUUAGCCUGGGAACUAAACACAAAGAUUCCUCCCAUCCUUCCCCCUAACAUCCCCCUGCUUCUUAUCUAAGGGUCACUUCCUAGCCUGUCUGAACAAGAUGGUUCUCUUUCCAGGCUUCAAACAAAAAACAUGAAGGCUUUGAGACUAUUUUGGAUACCCUGGAUGAAAUCCCAUAUAAGAAUGAUUCUACCAUAACAAAUUCAGUCAGUCUUUAUGAACUCAUCCCAAAACGUGAACAUUUGAAAGGUCAUUUCCAAUACAUGGGCUCCCUUACUUUUCCUGAAUGUGCAGAAGGGGUUAUCUGGACUGUGUUUAAGAAACGUAUACAACUUCACAACACUCAGAUCUUGCAAUUCUCCAAGAAGAUAUUCUAUAAUGAGAAGGGAGAGAAAGACAUGCCCAUCAUAGACAACUUCCGGCCAAUACAAAAGCAAUGGAGUCGACCUGUCUUUCACUCCAGGGUGGGAGGACUUUUGCCCCAUACCUGGCCCAUGUUUCUGACUCUUGCGUUGACCUACCUCCUGGCUGUCUUCCUCUACUGAAAGGCCCUGGACUUGGGACCUCUGAUCCCUCGACUUUUGACCUGCUGGACUCUGGAUUUUCACAGAUAUACUAUAUAGCUGUAUAUAUAUUUUUAGAUAAAUUUUUCCUCAGC